rnacentral:rRNA from 1 species
CCUACGGGAGGCAGCAGUAGGGAAUCUUCCACAAUGGACGAAAGUCUGAUGGAGCAACGCCGCGUGAGCGAUGAAGGCCUUCGGGUCGUAAAGCUCUGUUGUCAGGGAAGAACAAGUAUCGGAGUAACUGCCGGUACCUUGACGGUACCUGACCAGAAACGCCACGGGCAAAUGCGAGCCAGCACCGGGGGAUAG